GUCCCUACAGAGUCCUGAUCUCAACAUCAUGGAGUCAGUCUGGGAUUAACAUGAACAGACAGAAGCAGCUGAGAUGCAGCAACAACCGAACUGCCAACAACCUUGAAAAAGUGAAGAAAAGUUGUUACACCAAAUAUUGAUUUCAUGCGUCGGAUAAAUGCUGCUGCAGAGAAAAAGCCCCGUCUCCACAGGACCCCUAUUACCUGCAGGUCCUCCUGUGUGAUUUGUAAUAACUGGAGAGAUCAUGACUGUGCAAAGGAGAAGUGCCAUAUUUCACCAAAACCCCGAGCAGACUAUUAUAACGUCCCAUCAAAACCGAGGCCAGGCAUGUUUAAUUAGCCAAACAAACCAUGCCUAAAUGUGCACAUUAAAGCUAGACCCAUACUGGAUUUUUAAGGCGACCCUCCCGUUUUUUUUAAAAGAUACAUCCCAGUAUAGUCGUACGUUAACAUUCUCUCCUGUCAGGCUCUUUGGAAGCGGUCAAAGUUAUUUGGCGGUUAGGCGGUUGGCGUUUAUCUGUCUCUCUGAGCUUCUGUGACAGUGGUAACUGGCAGCUUGACAGAUCAGUCCGCAGUCCCAUUUCUGCAGGAAAGACGUCAGAAGACGCUUUGGAUUUCCUUUCGCUUGUCAUGAAUUUAUUUCCUUUAACGUUGCGUUUGAUAACAUGGUUCCAUUUUCAGACAGAGAUAAAAAAUGAUUAUUUUCUUACAUGCAUAUCUCAUUAAAUAUGAGCUCUACAGUGAAGCUUUCUAGCUAAAAUAAACGUUCUGUGAAGUUGACUUCCAAGUAAAUUACUGAUAAAAUAUUUGUCAUUUGAACAAUGAAGCCCCAGAGAAACAAA